CUUCAGCGAACCCAGCAGCAGCGGCCGGUCGGCCUCGCGGCCCCGGCCGUAGGUGGCCAGCAGCGCCUCGGCCUC
rnacentral:antisense_RNA from 1 species